UACGUAGGGGCAAGCGUUGUCCGGAAUCAUUGGGCGUAAAGCGCGUGUAGGCGGUUCAGUAAGUCUGCUGUGAAAGUCCAGGGCUCAACCCUGGGAUGCCGGGUGGAUACUGCUGGGCUAGAGUACGGGAAGAGGCGAGUGGAAUUCCCGGUGUAGCGGUGAAAUGCGCAGAUAUCGGGAGGAACACCGGAGGCGAAGGCGGCUCGCUGGGCCGGACUGACGCUGAGACGCGAAGGCGUGGGGAGCGAACGGG
rnacentral:rRNA from 1 species